rnacentral:rRNA from 1 species
UACGUAGGGUGCAAGCGUUGUCCGGAAUUAUUGGGCGUAAAGAGCUCGUAGGCGGUUUGUCGCGUCUGCUGUGAAAACGCGAGGCUCAACCUCGCGCCUGCAGUGGGUACGGGCAGACUAGAGUGUGGUAGGGGAGAUUGGAAUUCCUGGUGUAGCGGUGGAAUGCGCAGAUAUCAGGAGGAACACCGGAUGGCGAAGGCAGAUCUCUGGGCCAUUACUGACGCUGAGGAGCGAAAGCGUGGGGAGCGAACAGG